AGGAAAGAUCUGAGCCAGAAACUUAGAGAAAUAAGGAAAUUCUGCUCCAGCCUCCUGUUUCUCAUCAGUAUGUUUGUUGAACUCAUGUGUGACAAGGAGCAUUCUAUUUGCGAACACAAGAAAACUGCAAAUAUCUGGUAUAGGAUGCUGAUACAGAGUGGAGAAGCCGUGACUUAUUACAGGCACCCUGUCACCUCAAUUAAUACAGCAUGCCCACCUUGAGCAAAGGAUGCUCUCAAUCCAAGGAAAGAUUCCAAUGGAUCUGUCUGUAAGUAGGAAAAUUUUAUUU